UGGGCACGUCCGGGGGGGUCUAGGAAGGACGGAACUGACGUCAUAAACAGGCACGGUUGCAGUGCAGGCGGAAAUGAAUGAAUGGAUUUACAAACCGGAAGUGCUAAUCGUGGGCAGCGCCCGCACCGCACGGGACCGGCAGUAGCGGCAACCGCGGAAGGGCGGGAAUCACCUAUUGCAAAUCAGAACGAACCGCAACCUUUGGGGAGGAGCUGGGAUUUUCCUGCCGGAAGUAGUGAACGAGGUCGGCGAAGGGGGGACUCCAGGCCGGAAGUAAGGGCUGAAGUAACGUUUUUUGACAGCGGAUGAUGCUCCCCUUUCAGAAGCGGAAAUAAGUCGAGUUCCUAGUCCUUUGCGUCAUUUCCGCUCUGGGCGGCUGUCUCUGCGGCGGAUUCCGGAGGCUCAUGAAUAGUGGUGUUGGUUGAUUGACAGCGUUUCCCGCUGCCCUGCCCCAGGGCGUGGUCCCGCUACCUCCCGGCCCGCGAGAGCGGCCCCAUGCGGAGCCCGGCGGGGCGGGGAGCAGCGUGGGCUGGGCUGGGCUGUGUGUCCCGCCGGAGGGAAGGGCCCUGGGGGAGGCUGCGAGCCAAGUAGCUGGUGCAGACGUGCCCCCAGUCUCGGCCCUGCAGCUUCUGUAGGGCCUGCGGGGACUCCUCCAGUGGCUUGGCUGAGGGUCUGGCACUUCUGGCGCGACAACCCCACCCCCACCACACACUCCCCCGAGGUGGGCCCAGGCGCUGUGUACAGGCCAGAGGGCUGGACUGAGGGUUGGGGACCAUCCUCACUCCCCUCGCCUCUUCGCUGCCUGCACAGGUCCUCUUCUGUUGGUUGUCUGGGCACGCAGGGAGUUUGGGGCCCGAGGGCUUUCUGUGCUGCACAGGCAAGACUCUGUAUGGAGCCAGUGUGGGGGCUAUGGCAGAUAUUGCAAUCCCAGGCCAAAUCCCUGCAGACCACUGUGACCUUGCACUCCAUAAUGUUUUAUGGAAAUAUGCUUAUGGGUGUAAAUAUGAUAUAACUGGAAUAUGCAUUAUGCAAAAGGUCUUUUGUAAGAUAUCAUUACAAAGGUUAUAAUCUACUGAGUGCGUUCAUCCUAUUUGUAUGUAUCAUUCUUGUAUCUGAAAAUAGAAAUAUAAAGUAUAACUGAGGUCCUCUUGUAAUUAUGCAAAGUGUGGGCCAUUAAUGGUGGGUUAGAAUCUUGAUGGCUCCCACUGACUAGAACAAUUGGUUGUAAAUGGCUCUGUUUACCUGCAAGCCUUCCUGUGUUCCUGUGAGCCAGCCCAGGAAGAAUGAUGGAAUCCAUCUUAGACCUGGUGCUUUUCUAUUUAGAAGGAGGGGUGGGAAUCCAGAGAGACAAAAGAUUCCUGCCUUGUGCCAAAGCUAUAAAAGUGGGUGGAAGAGAACAAAGAGGAUCCUAGUCCUGAAAAAGACCCUGCUUUUCACCUAAGAUGCCUGCUGGAACUAGCAAGGACUGGGCCGGGGAAAGGAUUGGGCCCAGACUAGGAAGGAGUCUAGUCUAUGAAAGAAGCUCAUUGGAACAUCUCUGAGGCAAACAGGCAGGACUUCAAGGGCUCCAACACUUGUGGAAGGGCUGGAAGAACUUUGGAUUGCUAGAGCCCUAUCAGACUGCUGGUGAGUAACCUCUGGGAAUUAAAGGUUUGUCAGUUUACAGCCCAUGGAUGAGAUGACGCUGAGUGGCCCGAAGGGGUCUACUACGAAGGAAAAAGUGACAGUGGUGUGGAAGAGGUGAACCACUCCAUGACCCUUGGUUGUAUGCAGCGACAGCAGAUCAAGGAGCUGUGCACUAGCUUCACACCGAUGAUCUUAGCCACCCCAGGAUCAACCGAAAGGGCAUACCACUCCAUUGACACAGGUAAUGCUCACCCAAUUAGAGCCCAACCUUACCAGGUGUCUCCUCAAGCCAAAACUGCUAUAGAACGGAGAUCCAGAACAUGCUACAAAUGGGUGUAAUCCACCCCUCUAACAGUGCAUGGUCGUCUCCAGUGGUUCUAGUUCCCAAACCAGAUGGGGAGAUACGUUUUUGCGUGGACUACUAUAAGCUAAAUGCUGUAACUCACCCAGACAACUAUCCAAUGCCACUCAAAGAUGAGCUAUUGGAGAAACUGGGGCGGGCCCAGUUCAUCUCUACCUUAGACUUAACCAAGGGGUACUGGCAAGUACCACUGGAUGAAUCCGCCAAGGAAAGGUCAGCCUUCAUCACCCAUGUAGGGCUGUAUGAAUUUUAAUAUGCUCCCUUUUGGGCUGCGAAAUGCACCUGCUACUUUCCAGAAGCUUGUAGAUAGUCUCCUAGCAGGAUUAGGAGAAUCUGCAGUCGCCUACCUUGACUAUGUGGCCAUCUUUUCUGAUUCAUGGGCAGAACACCUGGAGCAUCUGCAAAAAGUCUGCAUAAGGCAGGCAGGACUAAACGUUAAGGCUAAAAAGCAUCAAAUAGGCCUAAACAGAGUGACUUACCUUGGACACCAGGUGGGUCAAGGAACUAUCAACCCCCUACAGGCUAAAGUGAAUGCUAUCCAAAAGUGGCCUGUCCCAAAGUCAAAGAAACAGAUCCAAUCCUUCUUAGGCUUGGCUGGAUAUUACAGGCGAUUUGUACCACACUACAGCCAAAUUGCCGCCCCACUGACAGAUUUAACCAAAAAGAAACAGCCAGAUGCAGUUCAGUGGACUGAAGUGUCUCAGAACGCCUUUCACCAGCUUAAAGCGACACUCAUCUCUGACCCUGUGCUAAGGGCUCCAGACUUUGACAAACCUUUCCUGGUCACUAUAGAUGCAUCCGAGCGUGGUGUAGGAGCAGUUUUAAUGCAGGAAGGACCGGAUCAAGAAUUCCAUCCUGUUGUAUUUCUCAGCAAAAAAAACUGUCUGAGAGGGAAAGCCACUGGUCAAUCAGCGAAAAGGAAUGUUACGCCAUUGUCUACGCUCUGGAGAAGCUAUGCCCAUACGUUUGGGGACGGUGUUUCCACCUGCAAACCGACCAUGCUGCGCUACAGUGGCUUUGUAUCGUCAAGGACAAUAACAAAAAACUUCUUCAGUGGAGUUUAGCUCUUCAAGAUUUUGAGUUUGAAAUACAACACAUUUCAGGAACUUCUAACAAAGUGGCUGAUGCACUCUCCUGUGAAAGUUUCCCAGAAUCAACUGGUUAAAAUCAUCCUUGAAAUGUGAAAAAUAUUGUGAAUUUUUAUGUAAUCAGUAGUAUAUCUAAAGGUGUAUGUGUCUUAUUUAUUCUGUUUUCUCCUAGAGCUCCAGGAAGAAAUCACAGUCAGUGUGAAGCAGGCUGUCCAGCACGGUCUAUGAUUUGCGGGGCAUGUCAUAAACAUACAGCUAAGGGUAUCAUAAAAUCCCUCCUUACCUGUAAAGUGUUAAGAAGCUCAGGUAACCUGGUUGGCACCUGACCAAAAAGACCAAUAAGGGGAGAAGAUACUUUCAAAUCUGUGGGGGAUGGUUUUUGCUUUGUUCUCUUUGUUGGUUCUCUCUGGGUCAGCAAGGAAUGAGGACAGGGAAAAUACAUCUCCCAAAGCCCUACUUGAACUAAGCAUCUAGAUUACAAAAAUUGUAAGCAAAGCAAGGAAAUGCAUUAGUUUAUCUUUUGUUUUAGCUUGUGAAUUUUCCCUGUGCUGCAGGGAGGUUUAUCCCUGUUUUUUUGUAACUUAAGUUUUGCUUAGAGGGAAAUCCUCUGUGUUUUGAAUCUGAUUAUCCUGUAAAAUUACCUUCCAUCCUAAUUUUACAGAGAUGCUUCUUUUACUCUUUUUUCUGUAUAAUAAAGUUUUGUUUUUUAA